GCAAGUCGAGCGGCAAGGGCCUUCGGGCCCCUAGAGCGGCGGACGGGUGAGUAACACGUGGACAAUCUGCCCCCCGGUCCGGGAUAGCCCAGGGAAACCUGGAUUAAUACCGGAUGAGACGGGACCCGCGGAGGCGGGAUCCGGGAAAGGCGCUGCGGAGCCGCCGGGGGAUGAGUCUGCGUCCCAUUAGCUAGACGGCGGGGUAACGGCCCACCGUGGCGACGAUGGGUAGCCGGCCUGAGAGGGUGGACGGCCACAUUGGAACUGAGACACGGUCCAGACUCCUACGGGAGGCAGCAGCUAAGAAUCUUCCGCAAUGGGCGAAAGCCUGACGGAGCGACGCCGCGUGAACGAAGAAGGCCGUGAGGUUGUAAAGUUCUUUUCGGGAGGGGGAACAACCGUGGCAGGGAAUGGCCGCGGGAUGACGUGAAUCCCGGAAUAAGCCCCGGCUAACUACGUGCCAGCAGCCGCGGUAACACGUAGGGGGCGAGCGUUGUUCGGAAUCAUUGGGCGUAAAGGGCGUGCAGGCGGUCCUGCAAGUCCGGCGUGAAAGACCCCGGCCCAACCGGGGGGACGCGCUGGAAACUGCAGGGCUUGAGUAC
rnacentral:rRNA from 1 species